AUAACAGAUGUAAUAAUUCAUCUGGAGCAUGCAGAGCUGGAGCAGCAGCGCAAUCAGUCCUUCCCCUUUUCUCUACGUCACAUCUUUCCUGUGCAGCCUCUACGGGUUGCUAUGACGACGGCGUUGCAGCUCGUCUCUAAAGGCAUUCUCUAAUUAACUCUGUCGACCAGAAAGACAACUCACCACGAUAGGUAGCAGCAGUUGUUUAUGAAUGGUGCUUUUCUGAUAUGGGAAUAGGGAGUCAAACCCAUUUAAAAUGCUACAGGAUCCCAGAUUUCUUCGUUUUAAUAUCACCAUGAAACACAUGAGCUAAACUACAUAAUGGCGACCUUAAAAGAAGUGGAUCACACAACUGUGGAUGGAUCAGAGGAGCUUCCAACACAGGAGGACGCAGUUGGGGAUCAGACAAAAGAAAGGAGACAUGUCGAUUCACUUCUAGAUAUUAGUGAGGAGGACUUCAUGAAAGAACAGGAGCCAUAUGAGUAUCAUUGUUACCCUGGUUGGGAAGAAGCUGUUCAUGGUUGGACCAGAGUUGCUCCACUGAGCUGCAUACUUUUGCCUCAGCAGAGGUACAGGAAACCAAUGCAUAAGGAGGCUGACAACCCAACCCCCUUGUCUGUUGACCCAGCAAUCCCUGAGGCAGACAGCUCAGCCAGCAUUGCACAGCACUGCUAUGAGUCUCAUGUGGGCCCGCAUAACUGCUUAAAGAAAUCCAUGCAAUUAAGCCAGCACACGGGAUCCUGGGCUAACACUGAUGUAGCAGCGCGGCCGAAAGACACCUCAGAAUGGCCUGUCCUCAAUGCAAUGCAGAAAACCACAUCAAAUCUCCUCAAAGAAAAGAUAGGGGAGGAAGGGAUGCUCAGAGAGACCCCUUUGCAGCCUCACCAUCUCCCUUCAAAAUACUCGGAGAACAGGCCCACUAAGCCCGAGAAACACAGGCAUAGGCCUAAUAAUACAGUGGUUCCCAUUAAAAACUUCACAUUUUUACCACCAAUUAAAUCACCACACCUGAGUCCUCAAAAAGUCAUCCAGCUCUGCAGUGGCAAGACGGCUCCAGAAGGAGAACCCAUAGAGGAAAAUGGUUUCAUGUUUGAUAAGAAGAACGGGACAAGAGGAACAAGAGUGGACCCUAUUGCUAACCCAGAGCUUCCCGCAUACUCUGCAGCCCUGACCUCCAAGUACCGGGCAUGUCAGCAUAACCUCCACUUGUUCUCUGCUGUGCGUGUUUCUAUCCCCAAGAGGUAUCAAGUACCGAUGUCUUCCAAACCUGACACAUUGCACUGCUCUAGCUACUCAAUGGGCAAGAGCCUCACACAGGCCCUCCACUCCAACACUGCAGCAGGUUCACAAGCCCAUAUGCACCCCAGCAAGACUGUGUGUAUGUAGUAUGCUAGUAUCUUAAACUCUCAGGUUCUACCAAGUAAAAACGUGUUUUAUCUUAUUUUGUAUUGUGCAUGCCUUAGCCUUCCCACAUCAUAUAAUGUUUCCAUCAAAUUAGUUAGUUUAGAGAAUAAAUCAAGGUAUGAGACAUAAAAGUAACUCAUUGCGGAGUUAAUUCAUUUAGUUUAGUGUUCACUCAGUUCAGUCUGGCAUAACAUUUCAGAACAUACUAACCAUAAUAGCAGUCAGGGGAACAGAGCAUUGAGGCUCUUUAUGUUGUGGGCCUUUAUUUAAUUCUGACCAGUUCCCACAAGUGCUUUUUCAGCUGUUCUAGUUACCUAGCAACGGUGCAACUACCUCAUAAGAAGCAUAGCAGUGCGCCUGCCUCACACUUUCUACUAUGUAAACCUCAGCCACAAGCUACAACUCUGUUAGAACUCAAGUGUUGCACUGUAGCCUGUGACUACACAUGAUGAUAUAAACCGUUGCCAAACUGCAUCUGCUCUGUCAAAUUUUCUAUCAGUCAGUGAUGUCAGUCAGUGCAAUAUACAAGGGUUAUCAGUGCAGCCUUAUGCUGAGAUCCCUAAUCACUUUGUAUGUCGUGUUGGUCUCUAAAGGCCAGCCAAUCAGUGCAACGUUAUUUACAACUGGGAUGAUCUUGUUACUUUGCUUUAUUAUACUACCUCUUUAUCAUUUAGCUGCCCUGUAAAAUAAAAAAUGAUCCAAACAUGAUUUUUGUAUAAUCAAGAGCUGCAGCGUUAACCUAAUUAGACAAAACUUUUGUCGUACAUAAAUGUGCAUGUAAAAUUAAAUGGUUACUUAAAACCAAUUUGUAAAGAGUUGCUAUAUCCAGCACAAGCCAGGAUUCAGCAUGUCUAUAUUGGGUUAGAUGUAACAGUAUGAAGGUGAAAGACACAUACAGUUUUAUGUUGUUCUAUAAUUUAAAAGUACAAAAAAGGGUAUUCACGACCAAAUCUCCUUUAAUUCAGCUCUGUUUAGUACAGGG
rnacentral:lncRNA from 1 species